GGUACCGCAUCAGCCCGGACAGCAUCAUCCUGUACCGGCAGAGCAUCGGCACAGUGCCCACCGUGGACCUGGCCUCGCGCUACGAGUCCGCCGCGGUGGUGCUGCACUCGCCGCUCACCUUGGACCUGAGCGUCGCCUUCCCGACACCAAGAAGACCUACUGCUUCGACGCCUUCCCCAAAAUCCAGAAGGUGUCCAAGAUCACGUCGCCCGUGCUCAUCAUCCACGGCACGAAAGACGAGGUGAUCGACUUCUCGCAGGGGCUGGCGCUCUAGGAGCGCUGCCCCAAGGCUGUGGAGCCGCUGUGGGUGGAGGGCGCCGGGCACAAAGACAUCCAGCUCUACAGCCAGUACCUGGAGCGCCUGCGCCGCUUCAUCUCCCAGGAGCUGCGCAGCCAGAGC
rnacentral:lncRNA from 1 species